GCCGAUGUAGCUCAGCUGGUAGAGCAGGGCUUUCGUAAAGCUCAGGUUAUAGUUGUAACACAUUGAGUUUAAAAGUGUUACGAGAGCAAUAAUAUUGCUGGGACCA
rnacentral:tRNA from 1 species